CUUGCUCCCUAAGACAAAAGGGAAAGUAAUGGCUUAGCUAUUGUCAAUAGCAGUUUGUCUGUGAAAACCUAGCGCAUUGCACUUUCCCUUCUUUGAGUGCUUUCACUUAUUUUGUACCACCGACAUGAUUUAAACGUCUCGUACCACAAACGUGCAACAUUAGCUCCAAAAAGAGGGAUCCCAACAGGCAUUGUGAGAAGGCUGGCGUUAGCAACAACAGACACCUGCUCCUACUCCAGCUGACCAGCUAGCAUCAGGGACUAGCCAAGACCGAUGCUGCUACACAAGCAUGGAAGAAUUAAAGCAUCAUAUGGAAGAAGAAUUCGGCACAGAUGAUCCCAUCACACUUACAAACAAAUACAGACUGUGUUUCACUAACCUCUUCUACAUCGCAGUGUUGGUGUGAAUUUGUAACCAUAAGUGUGCACAGGCAGUGCCCAGUAUUCACCACACCAGAUGGCAGGAUAGGCCAAGGGUGACUGACUUUCUGCUGUUCUGUGGUGUUAUUGACCAACACCAACAUGUCCUUCUCUGAUAAUAGAAAAUGAAACCCUCCACAUUGCUGUACCUGAAAAAUCAAAUGUUAUUUCAAAGGUUGCUUGACUGUUUGCAACUGUUUUACUGCAUUUACACACAAAAAAUUGCUGAUAUGAUCUUGUCGUUCUGUCAUUGUUCUUUGCCUAUGCUGGAAAAUAAAAGCUUUAAAUAUU